rnacentral:rRNA from 1 species
CUAUGUUGGCUGCAGGGUGCUGUAACGUGUGCAAUCUGCCCUUCGUGGUUCGGAAUAACUCGCCGAAAGGCGUUAUUAAUACCGGAUGAUGUCGUAAGACCAGAAGAUUUAUCGCCCAGGGAUCGAGGCCCGUCGUAAGAUUAGUGUACUUGGUGAGUAAAGGCUCACCAAGCCGACGAUCUUUAGCUGGUCUGAGAGGAUGAUCAGCCACACUGGGUACUGAUACACGGCCCAGACUCCUACGGGAGGCAGCAGUGGGGAAUAUUGGACAAUGUUGCGAAAGGCGCUGAUGAUCCACCAAUGCCGCGUGAGUGAUGAAGGGCCUUAGGGUUGUAAAGCUCUUUUACCCGGGAUGAUAAUGACAGUACCGGGAGAAUAAGCUCCGGCUAACUCCGUGCCAGCAGCCGCGGUAAUACGGAGGGAGCUAGCGUUGUUCGGAAAUACUGGGCGUAAAGCGCACGUAGGCGGCUCUGUAAGUCAGAGGUGAAAGCCUGGAGCUCAACCCAGAACUGCCUUUGAGACUGCAUCGCUUGAAUCCAGGAGAGGUGAGUGGAAUUCCGAGUGUAGAGGUGAAAUUCGUAGAUAUUCGGAAGAACACCAGUGGCGAAGGCGGCUCACUGGACUGGUAUUGACGCGAGGUGCGAAAGCGUGGGGAGCACAACAGGAGUUAGAUACCCUGGUGUCCGCCGUAAACGAUGAUAACUAGCUGUCCGCCACUUGGUGCUUGGGUGGCGCCAGCUAACGCGAUUAAGUUCCGCCUGGGGAGUACGCCGCAAGAUAAAACUCCAAGAAAGU